rnacentral:rRNA from 1 species
GUGGAGUCACUUACUUGGAGUCCGAACUCUCACUUUCUAACCCUGUGCACUUGUUUGGGAUAGUAACUCUCGCAAGAGAGCGAACUCCUAUUCACUUAUAAACACAAAGUCUAUGAAUGUAUUAAAUUUUAUAACAAAAUAAAACUUUCAACAACGGAUCUCUUGGCUCUCGCAUCGAUGAAGAACGCAGCGAAAUGCGAUAAGUAAUGUGAAUUGCAGAAUUCAGUGAAUCAUCGAAUCUUUGAACGCACCUUGCGCUCCAUGGUAUUCCGUGGAGCAUGCCUGUUUGAGUGUCAUGAAUACUUCAACCCUCCUCUUUCUUAAUGAUUGAAGAGGUGUUUGGUUUCUGAGCGCUGCUGGCCUUUACGGUCUAGCUCGUUCGUAAUGCAUUAGCAUCCGCAAUCGAACUUCGGAUUGACUUGGCGUAAUAGACUAUUCGCUGAGGAAUUCUAGUCUUCGGAUUAGAGCCGGGUUGGGUUAAAGGAAGCUUCUAAUCAGAAUGUCUACAUUUUAAGAUUAGAUCUCAAAUCAGGUAGGACUACCCGCUGAACUUAAGCAUAUCAAUAAGCGGAGGAAAGGAUC